GAUGAACGCUGGCGGUAUGCUUAACACAUGCAAGUCGAACGGGGUGCCUAGUCCCCUCGUGGCGGCCGGGUGAGUAACGCGUGCGAAUCUGGCCUCAGGUCCGGGACAACCACGGGACACGGUGGCUAAUACCGGAUGUGCCAUAUUGGUUAAAGCUUAAUUGCCUGAGGAUGGGCUCGCGUCUGAUUAGCUAGUUGGUGGGGUAAAGGCUUACCAAGGCGACGAUCAGUAACUGGUCUGAGAGGAUGACCAGUCACACUGGGACUGAGACACGGCCCAGACGCCUACGGGAGGCAGCAGUGGGGAAUUUUCCGCAAUGGGCGAAAGCCUGACGGAGCAAUACCGCGUGAGGGAGGAAGGCUCUUGGGUUGUAAACCUCUUUUCUCAGGGAAGAAGAAUGACGGUACCGGAGGAAUCAGCAGCGGCUAACUCCGUG
rnacentral:rRNA from 1 species